GAUGAACGCUGGCGGCGUGCCUAAUACAUGCAAGUCGAGCGAACGGACGAGAAGCUUGCUUUUCUGAUGUUAGCGGCUGACGGGUGAGUAACACGUGGAUAACCUACCUAUAAGACUUGGAUAACUUCGGGAAACCGGAGCUAAUACCGGAUAAUAUUUUGAACCGCAUGGUUCAAAAGUGAAAGACGGUCUUGCUGUCACUUAUAGAUGGAUCCGCGCUGCAUUAUCUAGUUGGUAAGGUAACGGCUUACCAAGGCAACGAUGCAUAGCCGACCUGAGAGGGGGAUAGGCAACACGGGAACUGAGAAACGGUCCAGAAUCCUACGGGAGGCAGCAGUAGGGAAACUUCCGCAAUGGGCGAAAGCCUGACGGAGCAACGCCGCGUGAGUGAGGAAGGUCUUCGGAUCGUAAAACUCUGUGAUGAGGGAAGAACAGAUGUGGAAGUAACUGUGCACAUCUUGACGGUACCUAAUCAGAAAGCCACGGCUAACUACGU
rnacentral:rRNA from 1 species